CCUACGGGAGGCAGCAGUGGGGAAUCUUGCGCAAUGGGCGAAAGCCUGACGCAGCCAUGCCGCGUGAAUGAUGAAGGUCUUAGGAUUGUAAAAUUCUUUCACCGGGGACGAUAAUGACGGUACCCGGAGAAGAAGCCCCGGCUAACUUCGUGCCAGCAGCCGCGGUAAUACGAAGGGGGCUAGCGUUGCUCGGAAUUACUGGGCGUAAAGGGAGCGUAGGCGGAUAGUUCAGUCAGAGGUGAAAGCCCAGGGCUCAACCUUGGAACUGCCUUUGAUACUGGCUAUCUUGAGUUUGGGAGAGGUAUGUGGAACUCCGAGUGUAGAGGUGAAAUUCGUAGAUAUUCGGAAGAACACCAGUGGCGAAGGCGACAUACUGGCCCAAUACUGACGCUGAGGCUCGAAAGCGUGGGGAGCAAACAGGAUUAGAUACCCCUGGUACGUACGUACCGACGUCGUAACGGUAAACGUAGUAGGUAGGUACGUACGUUUAGGUUUACGGGUCCGGUACGUACGUCGUACUAGUCGUACUAGUUCGGGUUCGGGUUACGGUACCGGACGACCGUAACCGUAACCGUACCGUUAAACGUUAACCGUACCGUACCCGUCCCCGUCCCGGGGUUACGGGGGUUAACGGGGUUACCGGGGUUACCGGAACCGGAAACGUUAAAACCGUUAAAACCCGUUAAAACCGGUAAAACGGUUAAAGGUUAACGGGUACCGGUACGGUAGGAACGGUACCGGUACCGACCGGGAACCGGACCCGAACCCGAACCGGGAACGGGGUUAAGGGUUAGG
rnacentral:rRNA from 1 species